CAAGGAUUCCCUUAGUAACGGCGAGUGAAGCGGGAAAAGCUCAAUCUUUGAAAUCUCCCUUUGGGGCGAAUUGUAGUUUAGAGGAGCGCUUUCGGGGGCAAGCCUGGCCAAAGUCCGUUGGAACGCGGCACCAGAGAGGGUGACAGUCCCGUUCGGCCAGGCCUCGCUCCUAUGUGAUGCGUCUUCAAAGAGUCGGAUAGCUUGGGAAUGCUGUCCAAACGGGUGGUAAAUACCAUCUAAAGCUAAAUAUUGGCGAGAGACCGAUAGCGAACAAGUACCGUGAGGGAAAGAUGAAAAGCACUCCGAAAGGAGGGUUAAAAGUACGUGAAAUUGUCUAAAGGGAAACGCUUGACACCAGUGUUGCCUCUUGGUGAUCAGUCGCUCGUCAGAGCGGUGCACUCAUCAUGGGGCGGGUCAGCAUCGGUUUGGGGUGGGGUAGAAAGCUGCAAGGUGAGCUUCGGCGACGCUUGCAGUCAUGCCCUGUCCUGGACCGAGGACCGCAGCCUUGUCAAUGGGGAAUCGUUCGCCUCUUGCCGAAGCUGUCCAACUACUUGUAGAUGGACGGUGUACAGCUUGCGCACGGAUGAGUACCACACCUGGGCUUAGGAUGCUGACGAAAUGGUUUUAAACGACC
rnacentral:rRNA from 1 species